rnacentral:lncRNA from 12 species
AGUUCAGAGGGAGAAGCAGGCUCCAUGCAGGGAGCCCAACGUGGGACUUGAUCCCGGGUCUCUAGGAUCACACCCUGGGCUGAAGGCAGCGCUAAACCGCUGAGCCACCCGGGCUGCCCCACAUAUCAUUUUCUAGGCAUGUUGUCCCAGGACAUCUCCAGCUAUGGCAAACUUAUCUUCUCAACUCAUAAAACUUCAGAUUCCACAACUCCCUUCUACAUAGUGCAUGGAAGCUCCUGAGCCUGGCAGCAGUAGUAGCCUGUUCCCUCAGGGAUGCCUGACCCAAUGUGCCAAUAUUGUCCUUAGACUCUACGAUGAUGGAAUGAAUCACAAGAAAUACCAGAGCACCUGUUAUGAACCCAGAACCCAGAGCCAUGUCUAAGCGACACUGGAUUAAACUCAGUGGAAUACGGCUUACAUAGAAAGGACCAUUACUGGGCAGCCCAGGUGGCUCAGCAGUUUAGUGCCGCCUUCAGCCCAGGGCGUGAUCCUGGAGACCGGGGAUGGAGUCCCAUGUCGGGCUCUCUGCAUGGGGCCUGCUUCUCCCUCUGCCUAUGUCUCUGCCUCUCUCUGUCUCUGUGUGUGUGUGUGUGUGUGUCUCAUGAAUAAAUAAAUAAAUAAAAUAUUUAAAAAAAGAAAG